GAUUAGUGGCGAACGGGUGAGUAACACGUGGGCAAUCUGCCCUGCACUCUGGGACAAGCCCUGGAAACGGGGUCUAAUACCGGAUACUGAUCUGCUUGGGCAUCCAAGUGGUUCGAAAGCUCCGGCGGUGCAGGAUGAGCCCGCGGCCUAUCAGCUUGUUGGUGAGGUAGUGGCUCACCAAGGCGACGACGGGUAGCCGGCCUGAGAGGGCGACCGGCCACACUGGGACUGAGACACGGCCCAGACUCCUACGGGAGGCAGCAGUGGGGAAUAUUGCACAAUGGGCGAAAGCCUGAUGCAGCGACGCCGCGUGAGGGAUGACGGCCUUCGGGUUGUAAACCUCUUUCAGCAGGGAAGAAGCGAAAGUGACGGUACCUGCAGAAGAAGCGCCGGCUAACUACGUGCCAGCAGCCGCGGUAAUACGUAGGGCGCAAGCGUUGUCCGGAAUUAUUGGGCGUAAAGAGCUCGUAGGCGGCUUGU
rnacentral:rRNA from 1 species